GCAUAUCAAUAAGCGGAGGAAAAGAAACCAACAGGGAUUGCCCUAGUAACGGCGAGUGAAGCGGCAACAGCUCAAAUUUGAAAUCUGGCUCUUUUAGGGUCCGAGUUGUAAUUUGCAGAGGGUGCUUUGGCAAAGGUUGUGGUCUAAGUUCCUUGGAACAGGACGUCACAGAGGGUGAGAAUCCCGUACGUGGCCGCCAACCCGCGCUAUGUAAAGCCCCUUCGACGAGUCGAGUUGUUUGGGAAUGCAGCUCUAAAUGGGAGGUAAAUUUCUUCUAAAGCUAAAUAUUGGCCAGAGACCGAUAGCGCACAAGUAGAGUGAUCGAAAGAUGAAAAGCACUUUGGAAAGAGAGUCAAAAAGCACGUGAAAUUGUUGAAAGGGAAGCGCUUGCAGCCAGACUUGCCUGUAGUUGCUCAUCCGGGCUCUUGCCCGGUGCACUCUUCUAUGGGCAGGCCAGCAUCAGUCUUGGCGGUCGGAUAAAUGCGUGCUAAACGUACCUCUCUUCGGGGAGGACUUAUAGGGCACGCGGCAUACGACCAGCCGGGACUGAGGUCCGCGCAUCUGCUAGGAUGCUGGCGUAAUGGCUGUAAGCGGCCCGUCUUGAAACACGGACCAAGGAGUCUAACAUCUAUGCGAGUGUUUGGGUGUCAAGCCCGAGCGCGUAAUGAAAGUGAACGGAGGUGGGAACCCCUCGGGGUGCACCAUCGACCGAUCCUGAUGUCUUCGGAUGGAUUUGAGUAAGAGCAUAGCUGUUGGGACCCGAAAGAUGGUGAACUAUGCCUGAAUAGGGUGAAGCCAGAGGAAACUCUGGUGGAGGCUCGCAGCGGUUCUGACGUGCAAAUCGAUCGUCAAAUUUGGGCAUAGGGGCGAAAGACUAAUCGAACUAUCUAGUAGCUGGUUCCUG
rnacentral:rRNA from 1 species